UGUCCAACUGGCUUCUACCGGUAGGUGACAGGGCAGUGUUCCCAGCAGUGGGACAAGAGGUGCUGGUGCCAGGCCAUGAGCCACGCAUUCCUAGCUCUGCAGGGCAUGCAUGCCACACGGACUGUGGCAGCGAGCUCUUCCAGGCGCCCAGUGAGCCUGAGAGGGGGUCUGGGAAGAAUCAAGAGACACCCAGACAGUGCCAUGUGACAGUGAAGCCUCUGGCCCCAAUCUGCCAGGGUGCAAGCCCCAGGACUGCUGGUGUGAUGUUGGGGCCUGGCUCCCUGAUCCUGCUGGUGGCAUUUGCUGAUCAAAAGAACAGACUGUUUCCACCUCCCGGAUGCAAACUCUUUCUUCAUCCAGACGGAGAUCAGACAGCCUCUGGUGUUGAAUCCCUGAUCUGCCACUUCACCAGCUGUGCCAUCUUGGACAAAAUAUGGAGCUCUCUGAACCUAAACGCUCAGAUUGGGUGAACAUGAGUGGGCUUCCUUCAGGGCUGGGUGAUAGGAUGGUGUGAGACCCGCCGGGUAAAACACACAGUGGACACUCAUGACUUUCUCCUUUCCCUCUGCCCAGGGAAACCUCUCAGUCCCGGGGGCACGUUCGGUGUCGGUCAGGACCCAGACCUUCUCCCUCAGCCUCCACUUGCCAUCCUCACCUACAUCCUGUCUCACUUCACAGGAGGGCUCAUGCUGUGAGCCCCGUGUCUACUGGGUUCCGUCCAGAAUGCGGUCCAACAAAUCCACCACACGCAGGUGGGGGCCGUGUCCUGGCCCCCGGGGUUGAGUCUAAGUGAGGCUGCCCACGCUCGGUAUUUGAGGCCAGAUAAUUCUCAGUGCGGUGGGGGUGGAGGGGCAGCCUGUGCACUGGAGGAUACUGAACGGUGUUCCUGGCCUCCACCCACCAGGUGAGAGCAGCAGCCCUAGCCCCAGGCUUGGAAAAGGUUUCCAGAGAUUGCCAACUGUGCCCUGGAGGUGAAAUUGCUGCUGUACGGGAACCAUGAAGAACUAAGACACAGAGAACCUCCUGGAGCUAAUGGUCCACAGGGGCCCCUCCUGUGUGGACACAGACACCUCGGUACACAAACCUGGAGGACCCAGGAGGACCAAGCUGAAGGAGAGCAUCACCUUCCAUCUGGGGGUCUUAUCCCCCUCCCCCGACACUUAAACUUGAAGGUGGACUCAGUGCUGACCCUCAGGGCCAGGGCUCUCAGCAGGUGCAUUUUGGGCGGGAAAGGCCAGCUUUGAUCGGGGAGGGGGCACACCUCCUCUUGGAAACACGAAAAAUACACAUGGGCAAGGACA